CUACGGGACGGACCACGCUGCAUAACGCUCACGGAGAGAUGAGUCAACACCACACAGAAAACCAACCGGUCGCCCAGAGCUGGAGCCUGCCACUUCAGCUUGGGACCCAGUUGACGCAGCACAUCAUCACAAAAAUAGGGCGGUGGCUCAGCCAUGGAGACGGAAAUGAGAGCCAUGAGGACACCCGUUACCCGCAUGGCACAGUGGAGGGAGACAUUUGAGGAGAAGAUGGAUGAGCUCCCUGUCACCUCCCUCUGCUCCAAUCACAGUGUGCCAUCUGCCCAACAGCAGCUGGGCCAAAUAUCCAGUUAAAAGAAAUAUGGCUGUGUACAGACUCCUACGCCAAAGCUGUGGACCGGUGUCGGCGGCUGAGGGACACGUCCAGCAACGAGACAGAAGAUGAAGCAAGUGUCCAAAAAAGGCAGCGCCGACGCCCAAGGAGGUUCAUGACAGAUUCUUCAAGCAAUGGUAAGACCUUAAUUAUAGACUACAUUUUUUCACAUAUUUCAAAUCACAUAUUUUGCAAUCAGUACAAAUUAUAUGGUCUCUGUAUUACAGAUGAAUCUGUUGCACGACCAGAUAACCUGUCCAGGACGGAGCGUGCAUCUGGAAGAUGGAUGUUUGUCUCUUCCUGUCUGUUUUCAG